AAAUUGAAGAGUUUGAUCAUGGCUCAGAUUGAACGCUGGCGGCAGGCCUAACACAUGCAAGUCGAACGGUAGCACAGAGAGCUUGCUCUCGGGUGACGAGUGGCGGACGGGUGAGUAAUGUCUGGGAAACUGCCUGAUGGAGGGGGAUAACUACUGGAAACGGUGGCUAAUACCGCAUAACGUCGCAAGACCAAAGAGGGGGACCUUCGGGCCUCUUGCCAUCAGAUGUGCCCAGAUGGGAUUAGCUUGUUGGUGAGGUAACGGCUCACCAAGGCGACGAUCCCUAGCUGGUCUGAGAGGAUGACCAGCCACACUGGAACUGAGACACGGUCCAGACUCCUACGGGAGGCAGCAGUGGGGAAUAUUGCACAAUGGGCGCAAGCCUGAUGCAGCCAUGCCGCGUGUAUGAAGAAGGCCUUCGGGUUGUAAAGUACUUUCAGCGGGGAGGAAGGUGUUGUGGUUAAUAACCGCAGCAAUUGACGUUACCCGCAGAAGAAGCACCGGCUAACUCCGUGCCAGCAGCCGCGGUAAUACGGAGGGUGCAAGCGUUAAUCGGAAUUACUGGGCGUAAAGCGCACGCAGGCGGUCUGUCAAGUCGGAUGUGAAAUCCCCGGGCUCAACCUGGGAACUGCAUUCGAAACUGGCAGGCUUGAGUCUUGU
rnacentral:rRNA from 1 species